GAGGGCUAAGGACUAAAGACUCUCAGACUUGAUUGAUCUCAGGUGCUAGAUCAGAGGACAUGCCCUACCAAAGCUGUGCAAAGUUCAUCCAGUUCACAAGUCCUGUGGUUGGCAAGUCAUGGGCAUUGCAGAGGCUCACAUAAGGAUGUACUUCAUGCGUGUCUUCUGCCAUCAAGUCGUGUGAAGACCACAUCAUGAGGCUUUGCAGGCAUGUUUUUUUCUUCAGCGACCCAGUUCUGCAUGGAUGGAAGCAGUCCUUGGAAUAAGAAUGCUUCCUUGGGCCUCCUCGCCAUUGUCCUCAUGGUGAGUUUGUCCAUCUGUAGGCCUUUAGUUGCCUAAAUAUGAGCUAGUGGUCAUUAUGAUCGAGGUCAUCAAGCUUGCACAUGUCUUACACCCAGUUGACUCCAGAACCUGAAACGGUGAACCCACUGGAGUUGCCUGGAUCACAAGGGAUGAAAUGAAUGUAUACACUGAAGGACUAUCCUUGGCUUGGUGCUGUUGCCUGCCACCUGUUCCACUCCAGAACACUGAAGCUCCUGCUGCUGAAUCAAGAUGGCUUGGUUCUUCACCUGGUUAAUCCAUGUAUUUUGUUUUGCUGCACUGUAGUCUUGUCUGUAAAAUAAAAUGUGACUCAUGUGAA